ACGUCAGUCGAACGAGUUCUCGUUGAUGAUCGGUGCUUGCACCGAGAUUCAACAUGGAACGAGUGGCGGACGGGUGAGUAACACGUGGGUAACCUGCCCUUAAGUGGGGGAUAACAUUUGGAAACAGAUGCUAAUACCGCAUAGAUCCAAGAACCGCAUGGUUCUUGGCUGAAAGAUGGCGUAAGCUAUCGCUUUUGGAUGGACCCGCGGCGUAUUAGCUAGUUGGUGAGGUAAUGGCUCACCAAGGCGAUGAUACGUAGCCGAACUGAGAGGUUGAUCGGCCACAUUGGGACUGAGACACGGCCCAAACUCCUACGGGAGGCAGCAGUAGGGAAUCUUCCACAAUGGACGCAAGUCUGAUGGAGCAACGCCGCGUGAGUGAAGAAGGCUUUCGGGUCGUAAAACUCUGUUGUUGGAGAAGAAUGGUCGGCAGAGUAACUGUUGUCGGCGUGACGGUAUCCAACCAGAAAGCCACGGCUAACUACGUGCCAGCAGCCGCGGUAAUACGUAGGUGGCAAGCGUUAUCCGGAUUUAUUGGGCGUAAAGCGAGCGCAGGCGGUUUUUUAAGUCUGAUGUGAAAGCCCUCGGCUUAACCGAGGAAGCGCAUCGGAAACUGGGAGACUUGAGUGCAGAAGAGGACAGUGGAACUCCAUGUGUAGCGGUGAAAUGCGUAGAUAUAUGGAAGAACACCAGUGGCGAAGGCGGCUGUCUGGUCUGUAACUGACGCUGAGGCUCGAAAGCAUGGGUAGCGAACAGGAUUAGAUACCCCGGGUAGUCCAGGCCGUAAACGAUGAAUGCUAGGUGUUUGAAGGGUUUCCGCCCUUCAGUGCCGAAGCUAAUGCAUUAGGCAUUCCGCCGGGGGAGUACAACCGCUAGGUUGAAACCUCAAGGGAAUUGGACGGGGGCCCCGCAACACGCGGUGGAGGCAGGGGGGUUAAAUUUCAAAACCACGCCGAAAGAACCUUAACAGGGCCUUGGACCUUCUUUUGGAUCCCCUAAAAA
rnacentral:rRNA from 1 species